rnacentral:rRNA from 1 species
ACUGACUCCUCUGGCAUUGUGAGACCACCUUCACCACAGUCAGGUACAUCUCCAUGGAUUCUUGAUACUGGAGCAUCUUUUCAUAUGACUCAUGAUUCAUCCACCUUGUCUUCUAUUCGUGCUCUUGAUUCUCCUAUUCAUGUUCUUACUGCUGAUGGUACCUCCCUCCCGGUUAAUGGUCGAGGCAUUCUUAGCACCUCAUCUUUUCAUGUUCCUGAUGUUGCUCAUGUUCCUCGACUUACCAUGCAGCUCCUUUCUGGUGGUCAGAUUGUUGACUCCGGUUGUCGGGUGAUUCUAGACUUUGACUCUUGUUCUGUUCUGGACCGUCACACUGGUGCUCUCCUUGGUGCUGGUCCCCGACACCGUGACUCUCAGGGUCUCUGGGAGCUUGACUGGCUUCACCUUCCCUCCGCUGCCACCGCCGCCAGUCUUUCCCCCUCUGUUGCCUUGUCUACUAGCUCUUUUCAGCAGUGGCAUCAUCGCCUUGGUCACUUGUGUGGCUCUCGUCUCUCAUCCUUAGUUCGACGUGGUCUUCUUGGAUCUGUCUCCGGCGGUGUGUCUUUAGACUGUCAGGGUUGUCGGCUUGGUAAACAGGUCCAGUUACCUUAUCCUCAUAGUGACACUAUGUCUCAG